rnacentral:misc_RNA from 1 species
AAGUCGUAACAAGGUUUCCGUAGGUGAAGGUUUGCCUACCGAAGCCCUUAGCCAGCGACUCUAAAGAAAUCAGCUAUCAGUCGCCCCUUCGGGGGCUGGCGACGCCAUCAAUCUGUGUCUGGGAGUACGCCCCGCCAAGGGGUUAUCACCAGCAGCUCGUUGCAUUCGAGUUCACAGGUCAAACGAUAGCGGCCACUUCGGUGGUUAAGAUAUGAUCGGCCUCCAGCGCCACCUAGCUGGGGAAUUUUGCGGAACCUGCGGAAGGAUCAUUAA